AAAAAAGGUCCCGAAGCAAGUUCGGGAUGGCAUAGCCAAUUAAAAGGGAAUCUGGUGAAAAUCCAGAGCUGUUCCCGCAACUGUAAGUUUAUACUGAAUUCAUUUCAGUACCUCACAAAGUGAGUUGCUAUUUACUGCAAUGCCACUGUAAUCACGGUAAACGUCAUUAUGGGAAGGCCGAAUAGCAAAAAACAAGUCAGGAGACCUGCCAAUUUCAACAAAUAAGU
rnacentral:ncRNA from 2 species